rnacentral:rRNA from 1 species
UACAGAGGGUGCUAGCGUUGUUCGGAAUUAUUGGGCGUAAAGCGCGCGCAGGCGGUCCUUUAAGUCUGAUGUGAAAGCCCACGGCUCAACCGUGGAGGGUCAUUGGAAACUGGGGGACUUGAGUGCAGGAGAGAAGAGUGGAAUUCCACGUGUAGCGGUGAAAUGCGUAGAGAUGUGGAGGAACACCGGUGGCGAAGGCGGCUCGCUGGGCAGUGGCUGACGCUGAGGCGCGACAGCGUGGGGAGCAAACAGG